AAAAGCAGAUAAAUGCCUCAGCUGCCCAGGAUUCAUUUCCAUUAGCACUAGUGGACCAAGAUCGGUGUGAUAUUUCUGGAAAGCGUAAACUGGAAAUUUGGACAGUCUAGCGGGCACAAGCAGUUGAUGAUGCUUCCAAGAAAUUACAAGAUGCUUUGACAAAGGAAGGUCUAACAAUCAAGAAACAUGAAGACAAUUUAAAGUUUCUAAAGACACAGAGAAACAGCUUUAAUAACACCAUUCUCUAUGCAGGGGUCUUCAGGUCAUGCGGUAUAUAUUUGGAUGCCAAUCCUCUAUACACGAGGACUACUGGAGGUAAAGGUCUGCUGGAGACCUUAUUCUAUCAUGUUUUAGGUGAGGUCCAGGUUUACAGAACUAGGGAGACCAUGAGAAAAGCACUAGAAAAGUCUUGCAUACACCAUGGGGCAUGGGGUUUCUUUGGAUGGAGGUAUCAUAAGAUCUUAUGUCCUAAGCCAUUGAUAGUAUAUUUAAAUUAGAACUUUUUCUUAUAUAUUAAAGAAUACGCCAAGUUAUGAAAUUUAAAGUAUUUUAAAAAAAUUACAAUAAUAUAAGCAUUUUAAUUUUAUGAGCUGCAUUUAAUGGUAAGUCUAAUAAUAUGUAAUAUUUCAUAACAUAUAACAUAUAUGAGAACUGGGAAUUUGGACACCGAUGAUGCUUCCAAGGUAACAGAGAGGAACAUCAGAGUUCAAUACGUACGCUAUCAUUAAUUAAGUAUCACUGUAUAUGUGGGAAUGCUGAGUGCAGUCGCUUAAUGACGACUUGUUGGAUCCUAAUCUAGGUUCAUUAUUAGUAUUAUUAGGUUGCUCAGUGAACCUAGAUCAGGAUCCAUGGAGUCAUCCUUAAGCCACUUCACUCAGAUGGGAAUUCCUGCGGGUAAGAAACUUUUUGUGUUGUCUAUGUGUAUCUAAGAGGAGAACAAGAGAAAGUCUUGCACGUAAUUUUUCUAAGCAUGGAUUUACUCAAUGAGAAGUAAGCUAUGCCCGUCAGAGAACAUACAAGUAAUGAACCUAGAUAAGUACUUUAGUUAGGGAUUGUGAUUUAGUGUUUGUCUUAAAAAUCUAAUUGAGUUUAUAAAUGUACAAACAGAAUAUAGCAGAGAAAUCGCAGAAAACAAGAUUCACGAUAAAUCAGAUAGACAUUGAAAAAUAUAUAAUGAAGGAACAUAUAUGUAUAUAGUCAAGAAAAUAGUAAAGGAGAUGAUGAUGGUUGGCUCCCAGAAAAUUUAUACAAAUUCAAAUAUACCAGAGUGGGGGGGAGAUGGGAUGUAUAGAUUUUCCUUGAUAAAAAGGUUCUAUGGUGUUAGUUUCCAUGUUGAAAAUUCCCAUAUCAUGUCCCCCUCCUACGUGAUAAGACUGAUCCAGGUUGUCAUCUGUGAAGUAGAUGCAGUUAGGCCUUAUGUAUUCUGAAGAUGGAAGCAAUAGACAUGUAGCUCUGCCGAUGAAUAAUGCCUGGUCGCCCAAGUUAUUCUCUGCAAUGCAGGUACAUGAAGGUAAUUCAGAGUGAUGAUCAGAAUAUUUCAGUUCCAUCUUCCAUAAUGUGAAGUUACAUGUGAGAUGCAACCGAGCUCUCCAUCUUCGAGCUGGUGGAGAAAGGUGCCCAUGUGUGGCAGUGGAAUUUCUUGCCGUAAUAAAGGAUGCAACAAACUGAUUUGCAAAUCUCUCCCUAGAGUUACCAGCCAUCCUUUAUUUGUUCCCAGAAUUAGUCUUCCAGAAGCCUCUGGUAGUUCUACAGAAUAUGUUUUUCCUGUUGCAAGACGAUGUAAACCACGAGUUCCACUGACUGAACUUUUCCGAUAAUCAUACAGUUCAUGAUAGCAGUAGUGCUCUUCAUGAGCAUCAUCCUCAUCCUCAUCAUUGAUCUCAACCAUGCCCUCUUCAUGAUAUUCGUCGUCGAAAUCACAACUAAGGGCACCACCUUCGGCUACUUGUUCAGCAAGAAAGAGAAGCGGAGACUCAGGAGGCAGCUGCAACGGCUUCUUAUCUCGGCUCAGACCAGAAACAAUUGAAUUCCAUGAUUUUGACACGGCUGAAAUUCUGUAGAGAUCCUCGCAACAAGUUAACAUAUGAGCUAUAACUAUCAGUAUAUCCCCGGGGAGUCCGUCCCAAUCCGCAGGAUGAUCCAUAUCAGAAUUAAACACAAGAUAACACAAAAAACACACCGGAUUAAUAUUCAGACUCAAAAGAUAUUUAGCAUAGGUCAUUCAUCUCUAUAAACUAUAAUAAUAUAUAUAAACAUCUAAUUAGGUUAUUUGAUGUCCUUUCCCUAUUCUGUUUGUAAUUAGGAUAUUUGAUCCUUUAUCUAUUCUGUUUCUAUUUGUAAUAAUGUGUAUUGUUUUCAAUAUCUUUUACCUAUUCUGUUUAGGAUAAUCUGCUUUGUUUUUCCUUUUGAGAUAAUAUGUAUUGUUUGGGAUUUGAGUUAUCUUUUACUAUUCUAU